rnacentral:rRNA from 1 species
UACGGAGGGUGCGAGCGUUGUCCGGAAUCAUUGGGCGUAAAGGGCGCGUAGGUGGCCCGGUCAGCGUGCGGUGAAAGCUCGGGGCUCAACCCCGAGUCGGCCGUGCGAACUGCUGGGCUCGAGCACUGUAGAGGCAGGCGGAAUUCCGGGUGUAGCGGUGGAAUGCGUAGAGAUCCGGAAGAACACCGGUGGCGAAGGCGGCCUGCUGGGCAGUGGCUGGACACUGGAGGCGCGACAGCGUGGGGAGCAAACAGG